rnacentral:lncRNA from 1 species
GAGCAGCACAGCCACGCCCAGCCCCCUGUUCUUAAAGAGAGACGGACAGGAGAGAUGUUGGAUGUCUGCUUUGCCUCUGAAGUUGAUCUACCUGGGAGACCUGAGCUGGGUCAUAUCUCCCCAUUUCAAAAAUCUGUGGCAUUGGGAGACAUCCCUUUCUAUUUUUCCCGAGAAGAAUGGAGCUCCCUGGGCCCUGCUCAGAGAAACCUCUUCUGGGAUAUCAAGAGAGAAAACUCCCGGGAUGCUGCCCUCGAGUUAAGCCAGCUGUGCUCAGUGGGCGGGGCGUGUGGUGGUGGCUUCACCUGUGGAAAGCGGGGUGCUGGUACAGGGAACAGGCAGAGGUCUUUAUAGUGGCACGCACCUCUCAGAAGGAUCAGCUCAGCUGAUGUCCCCGAGGCUCCCUCAGAACUGCUCGUUUGUUGACCUGUCAUCUUCCCAUUAAAAACACUUUUGAAAU